UACGGAGGGUGCGAGCGUUGUCCGGAAUCAUUGGGCGUAAAGGGCGCGUAGGUGGCCCGGUCAGUUCGUGGUGAAAGCGCGGGCUCAACCCUGCGUCGGCCAUGAAUACUGCCGCGGCUGGAGCACUGUAGAGGCAGGCGGAAUUCCGGGUGUAGCGGUGGAAUGCGUAGAGAUCCGGAAGAACACCGGUGGCGAAGGCGGCCGCUGGGCAGUUGCUGACACUGAGGCGCGACAGCGUGGG
rnacentral:rRNA from 1 species